GAGUAUAAAUUUUUUUAGUAUUAUCAUUGACCAUCCCAUUUUUUCAAUUUUUUUUUUAAGUUUCGAAGUGCAGAACCCUAACAACUUCACUAUCUGCUCCUCGUUCGCAGUGACAUUGCUCCGAUUUUUUCAGCUUCAGACAAAGAAAAGGCAAUAACUUUUCGAACCCCGCCUCCCUUUUUCUUCAAAGUUCGAAUCUUUUGCCCUUUCCAUGUCAAUUCAACUAAAAACUGAACCUGGGUCACCCCCCAUUCUCUCAUCAACCAGUAACAAAAGCUUGGAGACGAUGAGCGUUCCUGAGCUCAUUGAAAUUCUUCGAGUUAAGUGGCAAAAAGUGGAUUAUGACAGAGUUGAAGAGGUUUUGGUAGAAAGAGAGAAAAAACUUAAAACCAAGGCUGGUCAACUUGAAGAGAAGUUUCAGCUUCAGAGUCUAGCAAGGAUUGAUGCUGAGGAUAAAUUGAAGAAGAAAGAGCAAGAGUGUGAGAAGGUACAGAUGCUUUAUGAGACGUUGUUUAAGGGAGUGAAGGAAAGUGGGUUAGACAAGGAAACCAUUGAGAAUUUGAGGAAGAAGAACAAAGUGUUAGAGUGCGAGAAUCUUAAGUUGUUGGAGUUGAAGAAGAAAUAUGAGGUUGAUGGCAACGCUGUUGAUGAAUUAAGGAAGAAAGUGGCUGAGUUAGAGGCUGAAAAGAAGAAUAAUUUGGAUACCACUACUGAGUUGAAUGAUAAGAAUGGGAAGUUGGUGGAUGUGAAAUUGAAGGCUGAGUUUCCGUUUCUGGAAAUUCUUGACCGUGUUUCGAGAUGUUGGAUAAAGGGUUGGAUGAGUGAUGCUUCUUUUGAUGGAGAGCAUGAUAUUAAUAAAGCUGAUGAUCCUGGUUUUCCUUCUAAAGUCAAAGGAGAAGUGAAGGAGUUCAAUGAUGAAAUCAAUGAUGGUUCUCUACCUUUGCAAAGAAACAAAGAUUUUCAUCAAUCUCAUGGUGCUGCAGCUGCUGAGGGAGGAUCCAAAUUUCAAAAUAUUAUUGAGAUCAGUGGUGACCAUGACGAUGAUGAUAUCCCUAUUUCACGAGUAAUGCUAGCAAAAGCUACCGAAUCACGCAAAAGAAAGCUCCCAUUCUCACAAUCUUGUUCUUGCAAUAGGAGUGGUCCCUUUUAAGGUGUUGGAGGAUCGGAGAAAAGGAAGGUGGGGAAGUUAGGGAGUUUAGUCAAAUUUAAGAUGCAGGUAGAGAGGCACCUCGCUAGGCGUUUGGAGUUCUGCAGCGAAGUGUAUUUUGGGAUUUUAUUUUGAUAUAUAUCAUAUAUAUGUUCAUAUGUAUAACUCUCCAAAUAACUUGUUUUAUUUUGUACCUCUUAGAAGUUUAAGGAGAACUAGGGUUUUAUAUAUGUAUUUUGGACUUUAGGUUAUGUAUAUAUGUAUGUAAAUAUCCUCCAGUCAGCCUUAGUUCUGCAGGCUAAGUUAGGAGCUUGUUAUUUUGUAUUCUUGUUCCUCUACUCUUGUUUUCUGUGUAUAUAUGUUAGUGAAUCAUAGCUUUCUUAAUACGCAAGUUACGUUAUUUUU